ACGCGAAGAACCUUACCUGGGUUUGACAUCCCGAUCGCAUUCUAUAGAAAUAUAGAAGUCAGCUCGGCUGGAUCGGUGACAAGGUGCUGCAUGGCUGUCGUCAGCUCGUGUCGUGAGAUGUUGGGUUAAGUCCCGCAACGAGCGCAACCCUUAUCCUUAGUUGCCAUCAUUCAGUUGGGCACUCUAGGGAGACUGCCGGUGUUAAACCGGAGGAAGGUGAGGACGACGUCAAGUCAUCAUGGCCCUUACAGGCACAGGGCUACACACGUGCUACAAUGGGGCGUACAGAGAGUAGCGAUACCGCGAGGUGGAGCCAAUCUCACAAAGCGUCUCUCAGUUCGGAUUGGAGUCGCACUCGACUCCAUGAAGCUGGAAUCACUAGUAAUCGUAGAUCAGCAAUGGCUACCGGUG
rnacentral:rRNA from 1 species